rnacentral:rRNA from 1 species
GAUGAACGCUAGCUACAGGCUUAACACAUGCAAGUCGAGGGGAAACGACAUCGAAAGCUUGCUUUUGAUGGGCGUCGACCGGCGCACGGGUGAGUAACGCGUAUCCAACCUGCCCGUCACUUGGGGAUAACCUUGCGAAAGUAAGACUAAUACCCAAUGAUAUCUCUAGAAGACAUCUGAAAGAGAUUAAAGAUUUAUCGGUGAUGGAUGGGGAUGCGUCUGAUUAGCUUGUUGGCGGGGUAACGGCCCACCAAGGCAACGAUCAGUAGGGGUUCUGAGAGGAAGGUCCCCCACAUUGGAACUGAGACACGGUCCAAACUCCUACGGGAGGCAGCAGUGAGGAAUAUUGGUCAAUGGGCGAGAGCCUGAACCAGCCAAGUAGCGUGCAGGAAGACGGCCCUAUGGGUUGUAAACUGCUUUUAUAAGGGAAUAAAGUGAGAGUCGUGACUCUUUUUGUAUGUACCUUAUGAAUAAGGACCGGCUAAUUCCGUG